rnacentral:rRNA from 1 species
UACGAAGGGGGCUAGCGUUGCUCGGAAUCACUGGGCGUAAAGGGUGCGUAGGCGGGUUCUUAAGUUAGAGGUGAAAGCCUGGAGCUCAACUCCAGAACUGCCUUUAAUACUGGGAAUCUUGAGUUCGGAAGAGGUGAGUGGAACUGCGAGUGUAGAGGUGAAAUUCGUAGAUAUUCGCAAGAACACCAGUGGCGAAGGCGACUUACUGGACACAUAUUGACGCUGAGGUGCGAAAGCGUGGGGAGCAAACAGGG